UUUUAGCCGGUUAACUCAGAAAACGAGCUGCACCAACCGGACACUUCAUCCCGGAAAUACGGAAGCCAGUGCGGAAGAGCUGCGGUCCGUCUCCCGGUCGCCAUCGAACAUAUAGUGAACAACAGCCUAAUGGUGACGCUAGCUUACUGAGAUAAGAGCUACACGGGAUUUUGCUCCAUUGCAACAAACAGUGUAUGGCCGAGUACACACCGCUUCUCUAAACGCACUUCUUGGUUUCUUUGAACGCCAGAUUGACUGCUCUGCAUUGCUCUCUUGUUUACCCAGGAGUCAGGACUAACAAGUAUAAAAGAAGACUGAGUACAAAAGAAAAAAAAAAAAACCUACAGAGGUGUGCCCACUACAGUUAUCAUAAACAGUUACAAAGUCAAGCGGAUCGGAGUGAACUAGAUGUAAAAAACAUGGGUCAGUUUCCUGUACGGAAGAAACAGCGUAGAAAGAGCAUUACAGAGCCUCCUAUUAUGAGUACUGAAGAUACAUCAUUGAGAGCAAUCAUACUUGGAAGCUCUGGUCAUCAGCAGUUCUCUCUCACCGAGUCGAUCCUGCAGAGCGUGGUCUUUGACGGCAGCUGAUCCUCACACUAUACUCACUACUAAAACUUCUGGAAGCCUCUUUGGGAGAAAUGUGACUCUGGUCAACACUCCAAAUCUUGACAAUUACAAGUUUAAAGAGGAACUGAAGAAGGCGGUUCGGUUCUCCUGUCCAGGGCCACACGCCGUCCUGUUUACUGUAAAUCCGUUAGACAUGCCGCCAAACGCGUACGAAAUUUUCAAACCGGUAGUGGAGUACUUUGGAGAGCAAAUCUUGGACAACACAAUGAUUGUUUUAUACCAUGAGGAAGAGCAGUGGAGGCAGUCGUUAGAGGACAAAGUGAUGAAGAAUCGUGACUUUAGAGAGCUUCUAGACCAGUGUCAUCGAAGGUGCCUAGUCUUCAACGGAAGAAGGGAAAGAGAGUAGCAUGGCAAAAGAAUUGUUGGACAAAAUAGACGAGAUGGUGGCAAAGCAUGGUGUUUUUUCAAACCUGGAAUAUAAAGACGUGGCUCAACAAUUCACACAUCAGGAAAUAAUCGUGGAAAAUCAAGAGAAAGAAGGAGGUCGGUGCAGUGCUAGAGGAACCGGAGAAGAAGCUUUCUCAGGAUGAAUGUGAAAAUAAGGCCUUCAUUAGCAUUAAAGUCUCUUAAAUUCACGUUUCAGAGGUCUUACAAACACAACCGACCCGACACGUAAACAAGAUUUAGAUGUUAUUUUCUCUCGUCGCUGUUUGAGAUGGUAAACCUGUGUGUGUGUGUGUGUGUGUGUGUGUGUGUGUGUGUGUGUCUGUCUGUCUGUCUGUCUCACAUCCGUGUUUUAGAGCGGCUCGGUUCACAGGAAACGCUCCAAACCAGCUUCAUCUCAGUCUGAGUUGUGAGUUUGAGUCGCUCAUACGUGCGUUUAGACCCGACACGCGUCAGGUUCACUUUGGGUUUACGUUAGAGUCAUCUCAAACACUCCUGUGGGACGAGGUUUACAGAAUUUCACCUGAUCUGUAAUGAGAAGUUAAUUUAAAAAAAAAAAAAAAAAAAACUGUUGUCAACUAAAAGGACGUCUACCUGCGGCUUUCCUCCAAAAUAAAAGCCACAAGAUCUAACACAUAGAAGUGAAUUAAGUCAGAAAUAUAAGACUAUUGUUAAAUUACUUUGUAUAAUAAAAAUGUAUUAUCAUUAAGUAUUAUUCAGUGCAAUAUUAAUAUUACAAAAUAGCAAAGGUUUUUUCAUAUAUAAAAUAAAAAAUGUAUGUAUAUUUACAACACUACUUGUUAUACUUGUUAACUGAUAUUAAAUUACAAAACAGCCUGGUAAACACUGCUGCGAGGGGGUUUCUCAUACGACGUCGACGUCUUUUUCUCUUCCUGAUUGCCGUAAUCCGUCUCUAUGGUUUUUUCCAUUCUUGGAAAGUCAUGGAAAAGAAACACUGGAUUUAUUUUUGUUGGAGCACAUGGUAACACAAAAAGGAUAUUUUUAUGCAUACGUUACCAAAGAGUGCUCUCAAGUCUUUAUUUCACUUUGUAGUUCUAAGAGCUAGAUAGAUGCUUGUAUAUUAUUUAUCUGUUGCACUAAUCAUUUUUUAUUAUUAUUUAAAUAUGGACAAUUUAAGGCUACGUUCACGCAGCAGGCAAAACUGACAAACGUUACACAGGUUUGUUACUGACAUGGCUGUUUUAACAACAGAAGACAGAUUGAAUCUGACAUUUUUAUUUCCACUCUCAUAUGUGGUACUGAAAUCCGAUACGUGGUCGUGCAAUUCAUGCAAUUCAACUCGACAGUCGUUGUAAUUUCGUACUACUGGGAAGGAAAGACUAACCACUGCUGUUUUAUUUUUGUUUCGUUUCUUAAUUAUCAGUGAAUCCAGUCUGUUAUAUAAAUGCUCUUUUUGUACUGAGGAGGACGUGUUAAGCUUUGAAACUUGCAGGGUAUUUUUUAACGGAACAAAGAUCUUUUAAAUGUCGGAAAAUCAAGGAAAAGUUUAUUUGGUUUGUUUGUCUCAUCUUGUAGACGUGAAAUAACCAGAAUCAAUCUUUACAGAGUUUAUGAACCACCGGCCGCAAAGAAACAGUCUCAGAUGCUCACUGACCCAACUGUAAAGUGUACAGUGGCUAUGAGGUGGAUUUACUCGUAUACAGUCGCUUUUUGCCUCCAGACAUUUUGAUGGUGCUCAUGACAGAAAAUUAAAAUAAGGGUCUGAACUUGACCACAACACACAAUGCCUAUUGGAGUGCUGAUGCUGCUUGGUGCUGAUACUCUCAGGAAUAGGCUUGUGCAAUAUUAAUUUUCUGAAUGUAGUCAAGUUUAUUUGGUGCAGUUCUAAAAAUGUGAUCUUUGGGCCUUUUUUACCCUCCUCACUAUGUGGAGGUUCAGUGUGCUCAUGAGUCCAAUACCUAUUAAAUUUCACCCAUUUCAGAUGUGAAACUUUUUUACUGUAUGGCCUCAAAAGCAUUUUUAACUGGGUGUGUGUUUCUUUUUAUCCAUUACCGGAUUUGUGCAGCUCAACAAUCAUCUGUCAUUUUUUUUAAAUCAUUGUUUGUUUAAUUUGUUUUCCCAUCCCAUGUGGUUGACAAAGUGAUGUUACAUGUGUGCAACCUUAUAUUUAAUACCCCAUUGAAACAGCACAUGGUUAAAAGCAACCAGUUCCUACAGGAUGAGAACAAAUUAUAAAAACACUUCACAUUGUUCAAGAAUGACAAUUUAUUUGAAUUUAUUUAUAAAUCUUUAGGUGUGUCAAUACCAUUGGUACAGAUAGUUUUGAGAAAAAGACAUUAUUAUGUUAAAAAGUAGUUUGAACAAGUUUACUUUUUGUAUAUUACAGAGAUAUUUAACUGUUGAAGUGGAAAAUUUCAUUGUUGUGUUUAAUGUUUUUUUUAUUUUAUUUUUUAUAAAGGGUGCCAAUAAUUCUGGAGGGCAUAUGGAGCACUUUCUCCCCAAAGAAACAUAAUGAAUAAUGAAUGUUAAGAAUUUGAUCAGACAGGGAAGGUAUUUGUCUGAUAUUGUUUACUAUUGUUGCUUUAAAAUAUUCUAGAUUCUCUUUACAUGUGGUUUAUAAUGUCACAAUAAUGCAGCAUCCAUAUAUUUUAUGUGUUAGGCUUUUAUUGUUGUAUUUUGUUCACACAUUUGUGUAUCUCAUGUUGAUUUGACGCACUAAAGGCCGUGUCCAUUGUUCAUUUGGGCAAUGAACAGUUUCUGAUUGUGGCUGUCAGAUUGGACUUGUAAUUUGUGAUGAACAUUGUCUGUCCAAUUGAAGGAAAUAAAUAAUAAAGCACAAUAUUUGCA